AUUCUGCCCAAGCGGGGAAGGAUGAGAAGCCUCGACCAAGGUUCGACUUGAGCGCCAGCGAGAGAGCGUUGCCGCAGGCAACGACCCGAAGGGCGAAGCGCGCAGCGCUGAGUAAUCCUUCCCCCACCACCA
rnacentral:sRNA from 1 species